AGUGCUCACACCUCACUGAACAUAAAAAGUCCACUUAAGGGAGAAAUUAUAUAAAUGUGAUACGUAUAGUAAAGUGCUUAGUCAAAAUUCACAACUUGCGAUUCAUCAGAGAAUUCAUACUGGUGAGAAACCUUACAAAUGUAAGGAGUGUGGCAAAACCUUUUCUUGGAAGUCUUCCCUCAGUAGACAUCAAAUAAGCCACACAGGAGAGAAAUUUCAUAAAUGUGAAGAAUGUGGCAAAGCCUUUAAUCGAAAUUCAGAUCUUGUGCUUCAUCAGAGAACUCAUACUGGAGAGAAGCCUUACAAAUGUAAGGAGUGUGACAAGGCCUUCAGACAAACAGGAGCCCUUGCAAAACACUGAAGAACGCACAUGGGAGAGAAAGCUUACAAGUGUGUGUAAUGUGUGGCAGAUGCUUCCGUGUGCUUUCAAGCCUAAUUUACUGUCAGGAAAUCCACGCUGCUGAGAGACUUUAAAAAUGUAAAGAAUGUGACAAGGCUUUUAGCAUGUGUUCACACUUGACGCUUCGUGAGAUAAUUCAUAUCUGGGUAGAAGCCAGGUAAAGGUGUUUAGUGUGACGAAGCCUUGAGAGGAAUUCAUUUGCCAAAUCAUUCAUUCAGAUUACCUCACAGAUAACCACGUUGUGUGAAAAACCUUUACUUGGAGUCCACGUCUCACCAGUCAUCAGAGAAUUCAUACUGGACAGAAUGUUACAGAUGCACCGAAUGUGGAAAGGUCUUAGGCUGAGCCUUAAAUUCGGGCUUCACCAAAUACUUCAUACUUAAAAAUGGAAUGAAUGCGGCAAAGUGUCAAAUUAUUGUUCACUUGUCACUAGGUACAAGAAUACUUAUCCUGGACAAAAACUGCACUAAUGUGUGGGUCAAGGAUUGGAACAAAGAUCCCAGGUUGGGGAACAUGCUGGAGCAACACUUUAAAAAUGCAGCUUUUCAUGAUCUUUGGGAAGGAAUGGAUGAAGGGGCUGACUUCAUUGGGUGUGGUUAG
rnacentral:lncRNA from 1 species